UUGAGAGAAAAAGAAUUUAUAAUUGGCAGUGUCAGCCGAGCCAACAUAACCUACCCAGAUAAAAGUAUACCUCCCUCGCGCUCUUAAACCUCUUCAAAGCCCGUAGAAAAAACAAAGAAAGAAAGAAAAUGGCAUCUCUCACCCUCAAAUCCCCUUUCUUCUGCCGUGUCUUGAGUUUUUCUCGCCAACCUACGUCCCAUUUUGUUCCAAAGUCUCAACUGUCCUUCAUUCCUAGUCAAAUAACUGGGUUUAGGGCAGCCUGUUCUUCCUGCACUGCUUAUUCGUAUCCCUUAAAUUCUACUCAAGGGACUGUGCUUAAGGAUUUUGGACGUUCUAAAUUCGGAUGCCAACUGAAUUCUGGUCGGUUUUAUGUUUCGGUUGUUCCAAAUGGUGGUUCAGGUGGCGGUGCUGGUGGCCAUGGGAAUUUUGGGGGCAGGGGUGAAGGUGGCGGUGGCAGUGGCAGUGGCGGCAGCAGUGAUGGUUCUGGGGGAAAUAACUGGUCCUUUCUUUCUUGGUAUAUGACUCUUCUUGGUAAGUAUCCUGUGUUGACAAAAGCUCUGACAGCUGCAGUUUUGACUUUGAUUGGGGAUUUGGUCUGCCAGCUUGUGAUCGAUCAAGUUCAAUCUCUAGACAUAAAAAGGACAUUUCUGUUCACUUUCUUGGGAUUGAUACUAGUGGGUCCCACAUUGCAUUUCUGGUAUUUAUAUCUGAGUAAAGUGGUAACACUGACUGGAGCAUCUGGUGCAUCCCUGCGCCUUCUACUUGAUCAGUUUCUUUUUUCUCCUAUCUUCAUUGGAGUUUUCUUGGCUGCAUUGGUUGCACUAGAAGGAAGGCCUGAGCAAGUUAUACCCAAACUUCAACAGGAGUGGUUUUCUGCUGUUCUUGCAAAUUGGCAAUUAUGGAUACCUUUUCAAUUUCUAAAUUUCCGAUUUGUUCCACAGCAAUUUCAGGUUCUUGCUGCUAAUGGUAUUGCUUUAGUUUGGAAUGUAAUUCUCUCAUUCAAAGCUCACAAAGAGAUUCUACCAAAAUAGGUAUAUCAGGUAGGUUUAGGGGGGAAUGGCAAUAUUUGCCCCAUGAGGAUUCGGUAUGGGCUGGUGUUGGGCAAUGUGCGCAUAAUGCCAUCCUCUCGCCUAUUACUAGCUCUAUUCAAGGUUGAUCAUGCUGAUUGUGCAAGUUAGCGCAACUGAACAGCUCAUUGGACUUAACUGCUGCCACGUUAUGGUUCAGGGGAGACCCGAGUAACAACCACCCAGUUAUGGUGCUCAUUAAAUAGUUUUGUCAGCAAGAAGGGAUAUCACUCGACAAGCGGUUACUAUGUAAUUGUUUUUUUUUUUGUUCUUUCAAUAUCGUUGUGUAACUUGCAGGAAUUUGGUGGCUGAACUUAGAUAUGAACAUGAUGGAUGGGAUCAAUUCUAUACUUGUGAUGCUCACUCACCCCUACAUUUUGUACUUAAUGGCUUCUUUUUUCCCCC